CCUACGGGUGGCAGCAGUGAGGAAUAUUGGUCAAUGGACGAGAGUCUGAACCAGCCAAGUAGCGUGAAGGAUGACUGCCCUAUGGGUUGUAAACUUCUUUUAUAAAGGAAUAAAACGAGGCACGUGUGCCUUUUUGCAUGUACUUUAUGAAUAAGGAUCGGCUAACUCCGUGCCAGCAGCCGCGGUAAUACGGAGGAUCCGAGCGUUAUCCGGAUUUAUUGGGUUUAAAGGGAGCGUAGAUGGGUUGUUAAGUCAGUUGUGAAAGUUUGCGGCUCAACCGUCAAAUUGCAAUUGAUACUGGCAGUCGUGAGUACAGUUGAGGUAGGCGGAAUUCGUGGUGUAGCGGUGAAAUGCUUAGAUAUCACGAAGAACCCCGAUUGCGAAGGCAGCUUACUAAACUGUGACUGACAUUGAUGCUCGAAAGUGUGGGUAUCAAACAGGAUUAGAUACCCCUGUAGUC
rnacentral:rRNA from 1 species